AUAUUAGAUUUAUUAUAUAUUAAUAUAAAGCAGGAUAAAGUUCUAAGGAACGACUCCGUAGCGCUAAAUCGUAUACGAUCCUUUUCGAGACCUCGCAGAAAAUUUCGUAAGAAAGAUUAACAGCAUUUUAAAAUGGGGUUACUUUGUUUAUGAUU
rnacentral:ncRNA from 1 species